GCCGGCUUAGCUCAGUUGGUAGAGCACCUGAUUUGUAAUCAGGGGGUCACGAGUUCGAAUCCUGUAGCCGGCACCA
rnacentral:tRNA from 1 species